rnacentral:rRNA from 1 species
AUUGAACGCUGGCGGCAGGCCUAACACAUGCAAGUCGAACGAGUGGCGGACGGGUGAGUAAUGUCUGGGAAACUGCCUGAUGGAGGGGGAUAAAUACUGGAAACGGUAGCUAAUACCGCAUACCAUCGGAUGUGCCCAAAUGGGAUUAGCUAGUGGGUGGGGUAAAGGCACACCAAGGCGACGAUCCCUAGCUGGUCUGAGAGGAUGACCAGCAACACUGGAACUGAGACACGGUCCAGACUCCUACGGGAGGCAGCAGUGGGGAAUAUUGCACAAUGGGCGCAAGCCUGAUGCAGCCAUGCCGCGUGUAUGAAGAAGGCCUUCGUGUUGUAAAGUACUUUCAGCGGGGAGGCGUUACCCGCAGAAGAAGCACCGGCUAACUCCGUGCCAGCAGCCGCGGUAAUUC